rnacentral:tRNA from 1 species
GUGGGUAUAGCGCAGCUGGUCAAGCGCGCCAGAUUGUGGCUCUGGAGACCAUGGGUUCAAAUCCCAUUACCCACC